ACCCUUCGUCCCUUUCCUUUUCCUGGUUUUCCUCACUACCUUUCCUUUUCAUGCUCCUCCUUCUCUUCCCGCGCACACGUAAACUAUGGCGGUGGUUGAAUUCCUUUCUACGAAGUGCUUUUCAGGGGUUUCAAUCAGGGAUUUGAGUUGAUGCAAAUAUAAAAGCUACAACAAUGGAGGCUACCAUCUAAGUGUUUGAUUGCUGCUUCUCCACGGAUGAGUACACAGAAUACCUUGGUGGUAUUGUAACACAGCUACAGUAAUACUACCCAGAUGCCUCAUUCAUGGUGUUUAACUUUAGAGAAGGGGAUCGAAGGAGUCAUAUUGCUGAUAUAUUGUCUGAUUAUGAUAUGACGGUUAUGAAAUAUCCUCGUCAAUAUGAGAAAUGUCCUUUACUUCCCCUGGAAAUGGUCCACCACUUCCUGCGCUCCAGUGAGAGCUGGCUGUCGUUGGAGGGACAGCAAAAUGUAUUGCUGAUGCACUGUGAAAGAGGUGGCUGGCCUGUCCUUGCUUUUAUGCUUACAGGUCUUCUUUUAUACAGAAAGAACUAUUCCGGCGAGCAAAAAACACUUGAAAUGGUCUACAAGCAGGCCUCGAGGGAACUACUUCAGCUUUUGUCUCCUUUGAAUUCACAGCCUUUACAACAGAGAUAUCUUCAGUAUAUAUCCCGAAGAAGUUUGUUUAGGCUCUGAUUGGCCUCCUUCUGACACACCUCUCAUUCUAGAUUGUUUAAUACUUAGAGUCCUUCCUUUGUUUGCUGGUGGUAAAGGCUUAAUAUAUUAUCAUAUUAUGUGUUUCAGGGUGAGAAAGAUGGCAAGAUUAUAGCAGUGUGUGCCGAUGAUCCUGAAUUCCAUCACUACACAGAGCUCAAUGAACUUCCUCCUCACCGCCUUGCUGAAAUCUGCUUUUUUUUUUUUUUUUUUUUUUUUUUUUUUUUGAAGACUGUAUCCCGUGCUUGUCAUUUUAGACCUCUAGAGAUUAUUGGUCCCAUUUUAUAACUUUUAUUUCUCUUCUACUUCCAUAUGAGGUUGCCUUCACAGAAAUUAUGGUUAAGAAGAACGAGAAUAAGAGUGCUACAGUGAAUUAUUUUCUGCCAGCUGUAGAUGCGAUUGCUGCCAUCAAAUAUUCAAUCUCAAACUAGAUGAAAUUGCCGUUGUUGUGAAGGGUUUCAAGGAGCCCGAAACCCUUACACCGACUAGGUUACACCUUGGUGGAGCCAAGUACAUAUUUAUUAAACAUGAACCUGAGGCUGUUAUUCGCGGAAAGAAGAUGUCUUGGAUUGCAUCAUAAUCAAAACCUAGGUAUACAGGCACCAAAGUGGUCUAAAUCAAACUCUCUCUAACUCAUUCUCGCUUUCUCUCUGCUCUCAGACAAAGACGACGGUGACUUCAUUCUUCUGAUGACUGAUGCUCUUUGCAAGAGGUGCAGUGUGAGAAAAGUUAGUCUUGUAAUUAACUAGAUAUCAUACAAGCUGGUCAUGGUGAUCACUAUCAGACGGAUGACUUGCAGGAUCAUAUUAUUAUAUGUGGAUUUGGACGUGUAGGCCAGAUCAUAGCUCAGCUCCUGUAAGAACGUUUGAUACCAUUUGUUGCCCUUGAUGAUAGAAGGUUGAUAAUAUAGUUUAGAGACCAUUACUGCUUUCUUAUGCCUUACUGAGGAUGGGAGCCUCUUCAGAUGCAUGGAUGUUGAUGUUAUUUGACUGGUGGAAGGUCAUAGUAUUUGAUCUUUGGAAUCGACAAAGAUGGCGUCAUUUGAGAUGGGUGAUAGAAAAAGUACUUCAUAAGGUUGGGGCUGAAAGAGCUUGAGCUGCAGCAAUAACAUUGGACACUCCUGGACUCCUGGUGCAAAUUAUAGAACUGUUUGGGCUUUGAGCAAGCACAACCCUUGACCAAUGAUCUGCCACUAUUAAGCUUGACCAAUUUUACCUGGUGGACUUGUUUGGAAUAAGAAACUACAAUAAUUCAAUAUAUAGACAUUGGUUGCUUAUCUCUUAUUUACUUGGACUUUAUAGAACUCCAGUUCUGAGCUCUUUUAUAUUAUAUUUUGUCCAUGAGAACAGCUGGGAUUGUUUUUUGUAUAAAAAUAAUUGACAUUGAUUUCUAUGGAAGUUAAUUCUGUAUACAAGGAAUUAGGUUCUGAUUUUUUAAUAGAUAUCUUGAUUUGAACUUGAA